AUGCUCACUUUAGCAGCACAUAUAUUAAAGUUGGAAUGAUACAGAGAAGAUUAGCAUGGCCUAUUUGCUGAGAUGACGUGUGUGUGUGUGUGUGUGUGUGUGUGUGU